rnacentral:rRNA from 1 species
AGCGAACGCUGGCGGCAGGCCUAACACAUGCAAGUCGAACGAACCUUUCGGGGUUAGUGGCGGACGGGUGAGUAACACGUGGGAACGUGCCUUUAGGUUCGGAAUAACUCAGGGAAACUUGUGCUAAUACCGAAUGUGCCCUUCGGGGGAAAGAUUCAUCGCCUUUAGAGCGGCCCGCGUCGGGAUAGCUUGUUGGUUGAGGUAAUGGCUCACCAAGGCGACGAUCAGUAGCUGGUCUGAGAGGAUGAACAGCCACAUGGGAACGGAGACACGGCCCAGACGCAGACGGGAGGCAGCAGUGGGGAAUAUUGGACAAUGGGCGCAAGCCUGAUCAAGCGAUACAGGGUGGGUGAAGAAGGACUUCGGGGUGGAAAGCGCUUUUGGUGGGAAAGAAAAGAAGCAGGUUAAUACCACGCUGUUCUGACGGUACCCAAAGAAUAAGAACCGGCUAACUUCGUG